rnacentral:rRNA from 1 species
GACGAACGCUGGCGGCGUGCUUAACACAUGCAAGUCGAACGGAAAGGCCCUGCUUUUGUGGGGUGCUCGAGUGGCGAACGGGUGAGUAACACGUGAGUAACCUGCCCUUCACUUUGGGAUAACUUCAGGAAACUGGGGCUAAUACCGGAUAGGAGCUCCUGCUGCAUGGUGGGGGUUGGAAAGUUUCGGCGGUUGGGGAUGGUCUCGCGGCUUAUCAGCUUGUUGGUGGGGUAGUGGCUUACCAAGGCUUUGACGGGUAGCCGGCCUGAGAGGGUGACCGGCCACAUUGGGACUGAGAUACGGCCCAGACUCCUACGGGAGGCAGCAGUGGGGAAUAUUGCACAAUGGGCGGAAGCCUGGUGCAGCAACGCCGCGUGCGGGAUGACGGCCUUCGGGUUGUAAACCGCUUUCGCCUGUGACGAAGCGUGAGUGACGGUAAUGGGUAAAGAAGCACCGGCUAACUACGUG